UUCAGUGAAAUCGAGUAGGGCGGGACACGUGAUAUCCUGUCUGAAUAUGGGGGGACCAUCCUCCAAGGCUAAAUACUACUGACUGACCGAUAGUGAACCAGUACCGUGAGGGAAAGGCGAAAAGAACCCCUGUGAGGGGAGUGAAAUAGAACCUGAAACCGUGUACGUACAAGCAGUAGGAGCAGGCUUGUCCUGUGACUGCGUACCUUUUGUAUAAUGGGUCAGCGACUUAUAUUCAGUGGCAAGGUUAACCAUCUAGGGGAGCCGUAGGGAAACCGAGUCUUAACUGGGCGUUCAGUCUCUGGAUAUAGACCCGAAACCAGGUGAUCUAGCCAUGGGCAGGUUGAAGGUUGAGUAACAUCAACUGGAGGACCGAACCGACUAAUGUUGAAAAAUUAGCGGAUGACUUGUGGCUAGGGGUGAAAGGCCAAUCAAACCUGGAGAUAGCUGGUUCUCCCCGAAAGCUAUUUAGGUAGCGCCUCGGACGAAUACUACUGGGGGUAGAGCACUGUUAAGGCUAGGGGGUCAUCCCGACUUACCAACCCUUUGCAAACUCCGAAUACCAGUAAGUACUAUCCGGGAGACACACGGCGGGUGCUAACGUCCGUCGUGGAGAGGGAAACAACCCAGACCGCCAGCUAAGGUCCCAAAUUACUACUAAGUGGGAAACGAUGUGGGAAGGCUCAGACAGCCAGGAUGUUGGCUUAGAAGCAGCCAUCAUU
rnacentral:rRNA from 1 species